GGAUGUUGGCUUAGAAGCAGCCACCAUUUAAAGAGUGCGUAAUAGCUCACUGGUCGAGUGACUCUGCGCCGAAAAUGUACCGGGGCUAAACGUAUCACCGAAGCUAUGGAUUCGCACCGUUGGUGCGAGUGGUAGGGGAGCGUUCUACGUGCAGCGAAGUCAGACCGAGAGGACUGGUGGAGCGCGUAGAAGUGAGAAUGCCGGUAUGAGUAGCGAAAAGAGGGGUGAGAAUCCCCUCCGUCGAAAGCCCAAGGUUUCCUGAGGAAGGCUCGUCCGCUCAGGGUUAGUCGGGACCUAAGCCGAGGCCGAAAGGCGUAGGCGAUGGACAACAGGUGGAAAUUCCUGUACCACCUCCUCACCGUUUGAGCAAUGGGGGGACGCAGAAAGGUAGGGUAAGCGCGCUGAUGGAGAUGCGCGUCCAAGCAGUUAGGCUGGAAAGUAGGCAAAUCCGCUUUCCAUAAAGGCUGAGCUGUGAUGGCGAGGGAAAUAAUAGUACCGAAGUUCCUGAUCCUACACUGCCAAGAAAAGCCUCUAGCGAGGUGAGAGGUGCCCGUACCGCAAACCGACACAGGUAGGCGAGAAGAGAAUUCUAAGACGCUCGGGAGAACUCUCGUUAAGGAACUCGGCAAAAUGACCCCGUAACUUCGGGAGAAGGGGUGCUCUGAUAGGGUGCAAGCCCGAGAGAGCCGCAGUGAAAAGAUCCAAGCGACUGUUUAGCAAAAACACAGGUCUCUGCGAAGCCGCAAGGCGAAGUAUAGGGGCUGACACCUGCCCGGUGCUGGAAGGUUAAGAGGAGGGGUUAUCCCUUCGGGAGAAGCUCUGAAUUGAAGCCCCAGUAAACGGCGGCCGUAACUAUAACGGUCCUAAGGUAGCGAAAUUCCUUGUCGGGUAAGUUCCGACCCGCACGAAUGGUGUAACGACUUGGAUACUGUCUCAACGAGAGACCCGGUGAAAUUAUAGUACCUGUGAAGAUGCAGGUUACCCGCGACAGGACGGAAAGACCCCAUGGAGCUUUACUGUAGCUUGAUAUUGGAUGUUGGUACCGUUUGUACAGGAUAGGUAGGAGCCUUGGAAGCCGGAGCGCUAGCUUCGGUGGAGGCGCUGGUGGGAUACUACCCUGACGGUAUUGACAUUCUAACCUCGAACCGUGAUCCGGUUCAGGGACAGUGUCAGGUGGGCAGUUUGACUGGGGCGGUCGCCUCCUAAACAGUAACGGAGGCGCCCAAAGGUUCCCUCAGAAUGGUUGGAAAUCAUUCGUAGAGUGCAAAGGCAAAAGGGAGCUUGACUGCGAGACCUACAAGUCGAGCAGGGACGAAAGUCGGGCUUAGUGAUCCGGCGGUGCCGUAUGGAAGGGCCGUCGCUCAACGGAUAAAAGCUACCCUGGGGAUAACAGGCUUAUCUCCCCCAAGAGUUCACAUCGACGGGGAGGUUUGGCACCUCGAUGUCGGCUCAUCGCAUCCUGGGGCUGAAGUAGGUCCCAAGGGUUGGGCUGUUCGCCCAUUAAAGCGGUACGCGAGCUGGGUUCAGAACGUCGUGAGACAGUUCGGUCCCUAUCCGUCGCGGGCGUAGGAAAUUUGAGAGGAGCUGUCCUUAGUACGAGAGGACCGGGAUGGACACACCGCUGGUGUACCAGUUGUUCCGCCAGGAGCAUCGCUGGGUAGCUACGUGUGGACGGGAUAAGUGCUGAAAGCAUCUAAGCAUGAAGCCCCCCUCAAGAUGAGAUUUCCCAUGGAGUAAAUCCAGUAAGACCCCUUAGAGAUGAUGAGGUUGAUAGGUCUGGUGUGGAAGCGUGGCGACACGUGAAGCUGACAGAUACUAAUCGGUCGAGGACUUAUCCAAAAA
rnacentral:rRNA from 1 species